UUCAUUUUUUCUUUGCUUGGGUAACCGUCUGGUUUAAGAAAAAAAGACAAGAUAAAUAAGUUAAUAUUUAUUAUUUACAAUCAAUAACUGAAUAAAAACACCAACAACAUACCUAGUUUAAUCCUACGAGUGGAAACAAUUAGUAACUGAAUAUACAAAAAUAAUAGGGCAAAAAACGUAUACAUACAUAGUAAGAGGGUAUAUUUACAGAACAUAAUGAGCCUUUUCAGUUUACAAAACAUAACAUUAGAAUAGUUACCAAAUCUAUACAAACGCCACAAAAAAAAAAAAAAAGGGUAAAAAUAUAAACACAAAUAACUGCUUCUGUGUGAUCUUCUUCCCAAAAUUUCUCACUUACAAUAUUCUCACUUCUUCCUAAUUUCUCAUAAUUCUGUACUGAAUCAAUUCGAAGCCAAUAAGCUGGCGAAUCAAAGUUGAUACACAAGAAAUUUCUACAGACUCCGGCUGUCAAACAAGCAGAUUUCAUAUUCAGAAGAGAUACACAAUUAUUCAUUGUUGGGUUAAAAAAACGAGCAGAGCAAAUUGUUUUAUCCCCCGUUUUCUACACAUUUUUCUGAGGAAUCAAAUGUCAUUAAAGAAUCGAGAAUUCAAAAUCGAUACUAUCGAAGCUUCAAUUUUAUGCCAUUGAAAUCAUUAAAUUUCAAACUUUAAAAUAGAACGGAUAAAAGCUUUCAUCAUCCAACAAUGGCGGAUCCCGCAUUUCAGUCAACUUUGAUUCAGCACGAUGAAAGAUGAGACUUAACAGAUUGAAGGUUUCAUCGAGUAACAAUGGUGGAUAGCACGUUUCAUUCAAUUUUUAUACAACACUGUGGAAGAUGGGUCUUAACAGGUAAUAACUUCCUCUGAAUUCCUAGAUAUAGUGAUUUAUGGUGUUAAGAGGUUCAUAGUGUCCCCUCGAACUAGGAAAUGUAGUUCAUGCUUUGGUUGUUAUCGAGUACAAACACCAAUAUGAAGAGGAUUAGUACUCUGCCUAUUACAUCAAUAAUACAUAUGCAAUAUCGGUUGAAGCCCUCAUGCAAAAGUACAUGAAAUUUACCAUUGCAUGUAUUGAAAGAAAUUAUGUUGUCUCCAAUUCUAAAAGACCAUUGGAAAGGCCAAAAAUAAUGGAACUAAACCAUUUCAUGAUGUGAAGUUGAAGAGGCCAAAGAUGAGAUGCAACAUAUGAUUUAUAAAGGGGCACAAAAGGAAGACUUGUUGUAAUGUUCCACAGAAAAAUUAAAAUUUCAUGAUGCUAUAUUUUUUGAGUUUUUUUUCUCCAGUGCAUAGUUUGUACUCUUGCAGACCAAGAGUAACAUGCAGUUUAUGCUCAUUCGCUAAGAAGCGUUUAACUUGAAGAUUUAGCGUGACUUGAGCUUUGCAACUUGAACUUGAGGUGCUUUGCGACUUGAAGAUUUAGCUAGACUUUGAGAAGCUUCGUUAUUUCAAGAUCUAGUUCGAAUUUGUGUAUCUUAGUGAUUUGAAAAUUUGGCUCGUAAUUUCAUGAGCUUCGGGACAUGAAGAUUUAGCUCGAACUAGAGUAGCUUUGUGACUUGAAAAUUUAGCUCAAAUUUGAGGAGCUUCCCGCUCUCAUAAUUUAGCUCAAAUUGUAGUGCUCCAUUUUAUAACGAAGGUGCUCCCACCAUUUUAUAAAGAAGCUACUCCUACCAUUUGGAGAGAAAGAGAAAUGUAGAUUGUGAGAGAGCAAACGAAGAACCACUUACAUGAAUCUCUCAAACUUGCAAUCGCAAUGGUGUUCCUCUGAUCAAACCUUCUGCACCAACCUACGGCACCACCGCGGCCUUCUUCUUCCUCCGAUGAUGCUCUUAAAUGGAAACAAAAGUUCCAUCAAUUUCCUUUGAUUCUUCGUCUUCGUACAAGUUGCAUGUCACGAAUUUCAAUUAAUUCUGUUUUUUGCUUCGCUCAUUCCGAUGGUGCUCUUAAGUGGAAAUGAAAGGUUCAAUCAUUCUAUAAUUCCUUCAUUUUUUAGGCAAAAAGAGCGUAAACGACAGAUCUCAGACUCAAGGAAGACCUCAAAGUAG